rnacentral:rRNA from 1 species
AACGAACGCUGGCGGCAGGCUUAACACAUGCAAGUCGAACGCCCCGCAAGGGGAGUGGCAGACGGGUGAGUAACACGUGGGAACGUACCCUUUGGUUCGGGAUAACUCUGGGAAACUAGAGCUAAUACCGGAUACGCCCUUUUGGGGAAAGGUUUACUGCCGAAGGAUCGGCCCGCGUCCGAUUAGCUAGUUGGUGUUGGUAAUGGCUCACCAAGGCGACGAUCGGUAGCUGGUCUGAGAGGAUGACCAGCCACAUUGGGACUGAGACACGGCCCAAACUCCUACGGGAGGCAGCAGUGGGGAAUAUUGGACAAUGGGCGCAAGCCUGAUCCAGCCAUGCCGCGUGAGUGAUGACGGCCUUAGGGUUGUAAAGCUCUUUCGCACGCGACGAUAAUGACGGUAGCGUGAGAAGAAGCCCCGGCUAACUUCGUGCCAGCCGCCGCCGUAACAC